rnacentral:lncRNA from 1 species
CAGACGGUGCGAGGCUCUGUCGGACCCCGUCAUGAUAGGUCAGAGCCAGGCAGGGCGUUUAGCCGGGGAGCUGUGUCUGCAAGGCUCGGCUAUGGCUCGCUCCCCAUCCCUGGGCCCCUCCACGCGUGCUGCUGAGCGAGGAGGAGAAAAUGCUGCUGCUGCUCGGGCCGGCCUGCCCCCUCCAGAUGCAUGUUACACAACCUCACCUGGACCCUCCGGCGGGCGGCCGGGAAGUCUGCUCCACCUCCGGCAUCCUGCAUCCCUCUCCGGGCAUCUCCUCCAAACCUUUCCUCCUCCAUCCAUCCCUUCCUCCAUCUCUCCAUCCAUCCGUCCAUCCCUCUUUUCUUCCUUCCUUCCCUCCCUCCCUCCAUCCCUCCAUCCAUCCCUCCAUCCCUCUUUUCUUCCUUUCCUCCCUCCCUCCAUCCUUCCAUCCCUCUUCUCCUUUCCUCCAUCCAUCCCUGCAUCCAUCUUUUCCUCCUGUCUUCCCUCCUUCCCUCCAUCCCUCCCUCCAUCCCUCCAUUCCUCUUCUCCUUUCCUCCUUUCCUCCCUCCAUCCCUCCAUCCAUCCCUGCAUCCCUCUUUUCUUCCUUUCCUCCCUCCCUCCCUCCGUCCCUCUUUUCCUCCCUCCCUCCAUCCCUCCAUCUCUCUUUUCCUCCUUUCCUCCCUCCCUCCCUUCAUCCCUCUUCUCCUUUCCUCCAUCCGUCCCUGCAUCCAUCUUUUCCUCCUUUCCUCCCUCCCUCACUCCAUCCCUCCAUCUCUCUUUUCCUUCUUUCCUCCCUCCCUCCCUGCAUCCCUCUUCUCCUCCUUUCCUCCCUCCAUCCCUCUUUUCCUCCCUCCCAUGCCCACUAACCCUGAGCCCUCCUCUUUCCUCCCUCUAUACUGCUUCACUUGGUGAUCUCAUCAGCUCGAAUGGAUUUAAUUAUCAUCUCUAUGCUGAUGGUUCUCAAAUCUAUUUAUCCAACCUUAACCUCUCCCCAGACUUUCAUCUCCAACUGCAGUUCAGACAUCUUGGAAUGGAUGUCCCUCAGGCAGCUUAAAACAGCGUGUCCACCAUUGGAUUGGUGAUCUUUUCUCCAAAAUGCUCCCCUAUCAUUGCUGGGGGGACCACCAGCCUUCCCUCCCCUAGGCUUACCAGCCAGGCGUUACCCACUCAUUAUAUCUCACUCUCCC